AGGAUGAACGCUGGCGGUCUGCUUAACACAUGCAAGUCGAACGGAGUAGCAAUACUUAGUGGCGGACGGGUGAGUAACGCGUGAGAAUCUACCUUCAGGACGGAGACAACAGUUGGAAACGACUGCUAACCCCCGAUGUACCGAAAGGGCAAAUAUUUAUAGCCUGAAGAAGAGCUCGCGUCCGAUUAGCUAGUUGGAGAGGUAAAAGCUCACCAAGGCGACGAUCGGUAGCUGGUCUGAGAGGACGAUCAGCCACACUGGGACUGAGACACGGCCCAGACUCCUACGGGAGGCAGCAGUGGGAAUUUUCCGCAAUGGGCGAAAGCCUGACGGAGCAAGACCGCGUGGGGGAAGAAGGCUCGUUGGGUUGUAAACCCCUUUUCUCUGGGAAGAACGCAAUGACGGUACCAGAGGAAUCAGCAUCGGCUAACUCCGUGCCAGCAGCCGC
rnacentral:rRNA from 1 species